AUCUCCUGACCUCGUGAUCCGCCCGCCUCGGCCUCCCAAAGUGCUGGGAUUACAGGUAUGAGCAGCCUCGCCCGGCCUCAAUUACUUUUUAUAUUGACAAAGAGAAGAUGUUGCAAUGUCCUCAAACGUAAAACACCCCCUACAGUUCCAAUUCUGGGCCUGUCUUCUAUCUAUCUUUGCCCUUCUGGUCCGUUCCCUGUUCUGAGCCCCAGGGAACUUAGGGCUGAAAGUCACCCCCGAAGCCUCAGACCAGAUCGGGAGGCCACACGCAGCUCAUGGGGACAGAGGGCCCAGGGUGACGGUCCACUCAUGAGAGGUGCUAUGUGACUCCAGGGAGUCUGUCCCUCUCCGGGCUCCAAUCCCCAGCCCAAGCUCAGAUGACCCAGCCUGUGUCCCUUUAGCGGCCGAGGAGCCACCACCUGUUCGGGGGCUGGAGGAUGGCUUCCCAGAGGACCUGGGACACUCACCUAGCUCGUUCAUGGCACGGCGGUACUCCUCAUCAAAGGACAGCUUCAUAACAGCACAGGUGGCCUGGCAGAUCUGCGGCUCGAUGGGGAUCGGGGCUGUGGGCACAGGGACCAGAUCAGAGCCCCCAUUCCCAGGAAAUGUCCCAGGUGACUCCCGAAGGUCCC
rnacentral:lncRNA from 1 species